rnacentral:rRNA from 1 species
GACGUAGGGGGCGAGCGUUGUCCGGAUUUAUUGGGCGUAAAGCGUGCGUAGGCGGCUGCGCAAGUCGGGUGUGAAACCCCGGGGCUCAACCCCGGAACUGCAUCCGAUACUGCGUGGCUAGAGGUAGGUAGGGGAGAUCGGAAUUCCUGGUGUAGCGGUGAAAUGCGCAGAUAUCAGGAGGAACACCGGUGGCGAAGGCGGAUCUCUGGGCCUUACCUGACGCUCAGGCACGAAAGCUAGGGGAGCAAACGGG